UGGCUUGCAAAUAUUGGCCAUUUGAAGAAAGUUGCUAGUGUCCUUCCUGAUCUUCAGGAGCUGACCUCAAUGAAACCUUUCCUUAAUGUCAUGCUUGAGCCACGCUACAACGUGUGAGAUUAAAUUAAGUGGUACUAGGAACCAGGAAGGAACAGGGACAACCACCGGUGAGUGGAGCAAGUGAACAGCUACCUAUCACGUUGUGCCCGUACAACCAAAUAUAUGUCCAAAGCAGCACAGGUGGACAUGCUUACAUUGCAUGCAAUGGGCUGGAACCAUAAAAAAGUAUCUCUCUACAUCAGGCACUUUCCACAAUAUAUGUGAAAACAUCCAGCACGAGACUGCAAGGCUAGCAGAACUAAAAACAAAGCUACAUCGCACAGAUAAAGGGGCAUCACAAUGGCUUUCUGAUGUGAAAGAAUGGGCAGCUGGUGAGACAUCAGAAAUAUCUCAUGCCAGUCAAGGCACCACACACAGAAAACUUCAGCAGUCAAUUGAGGGGCUUUAUCUUGGUGUGAUGCUGCGCAAGCAAACUCUCUACCGUCAGAAUGACAGCAGCAAGCUUCGCCACCGCCUUCGAAGAAAGCUGGCAGAGGACAAAAAGCUCCUUCUUCAGGAGAUACAGAAAUACAAUGGUCUUGUACUAGACUCUGCCACAAACAUCAUUGACCUAGCUGUGGUGGAGCAUUCCCUCACUGGAGAGAGCAGUGUGUCUCAGAUAUGGCCGUGCGACCUUAAUGGCAGUGCAAACAUUUCAGUCAAGAAACGAUUGCAUGACCAAGUGAUGUUGACAAUGUGACUGCAAGAGGAAAGGGGCAUUGUGGUGUUGGAGAUGGCACGACACUGGACAUGGUUGCAGAGCCUGGCAGUGGCUCUCCAGAACAAGAUGGCUGAGGAGGACAAGGGAAAUGAAGGACUUUGCUGUCUCUUAAGAAGAAGAUCGUCAGUGGUGUCAGAAGGGUUGCAAGUCGUCCUUCAACAAUACAAGACUGCAUUAGGUCUUGAGGUCUCUGUCCUUCUACAUGUUGAAGAAGAAGAUCAAAGUGACCUCAGCAGUCCAGAUACCAGCGAGGAUGAAAACAUAAUUUAGAUAGAAACUGCACAAAGGACUGCGUUUAAGGAAAUGGACUUGGCAUAUAUCUGUGUAGUGUUAGUAUGAUAACUACAUUAAAAUCUGUAUGCAUCCUA